rnacentral:rRNA from 1 species
UAGGGAAUCUUCGGCAAUGGGGGCAACCCUGACCGAGCAACGCCGCGUGAGUGAAGAAGGUUUUCGGAUCGUAAAGCUCUGUUGUAAGAGAAGAACGAGUGUGAGAGUGGAAAGUUCACACUGUGACGGUAACUUACCAGAAAGGGACGGCUAACUACGUGCCAGCAGCCGCGGUAAUACGUAGGUCCCGAGCGUUGUCCGGAUUUAUUGGGCGUAAAGCGAGCGCAGGCGGUUAGAUAAGUCUGAAGUUAAAGGCUGUGGCUUAACCAUAGUACGCUUUGGAAACUGUUUAACUUGAGUGCAGAAGGGGAGAGUGGAAUUCCAUGUGUAGCGGUGAAAUGCGUAGAUAUAUGGAGGAACACCGGUGGCGAAAGCGGCUCUCUGGUCUGUAACUGACGCUGAGGCUCGAAAGCGUGGGGAGCAAACAGGAUUAGAUACCCUGGUAGUCCACGCCGUAAACGAUGAGUGCUAGGUGUUGGGUCCUUUCCGGGACUCAGUGCCGCAGCUAACGCAUUAAGCACUCCGCCUGGGGAGUACGACCGCAAGGUUGA